rnacentral:lncRNA from 1 species
UGGUUGCCAUCGUCGUGUUACGUUGCGCCUCCAACAUCAUCAUCAUCAUCAUCACCACCAUUAUAAUCGUCUCGGUCGUCGUCAUCGUCGCUGUGGGGCCUGUUCUGUNCGCUGUGCGGCCCGUCUGUCUGCCAGUUAGUUNGCCAGUCAAUGUUGACGCUACACGACGCUGCUCCACUCUGCAUUGCUCCGCUCCGCUCGUUUUUCGCAUUUCGCAUAUUUAAUAUUGGUCGCAAAUACAAUUCGCAAUUAUUCAAUCGCGAGCAGCAUUGCAGUGCGGAUCCCCCGAAAUUCAGUUAAAAAAUAUCCAUACGUUUAGCGGUCUUUCGACUUCUCAUACACAAUUUAUUUGACAGUUUUGAGUUUGACUUCGAGUUCUACAUACAACCGUAAAACCAGUCGAGUAUUGUGGUUACAAAUUGAAUCACAACGCUUGGCAACGCUUUAGCUCUAUAAAUGUCAUUAGCAACGUAAAUAUCGCUCAUUUUAUAGAAAUAUUGUAUAAAAAUUAUAAAAGAAAUCAAUAUAAUACAAGUGAAAUAAACAAAAUCGUGUGCAAUUAAAUAACAUCAAAUGUAAAAUAUAUUAAAACAAACCAAUACAAAACAAAACAAAUGUGAAUAAAAAUCAAUUGGACUUUAAAUUUUUCUCGAAUAAAAAACUGCUGCAUUUAUUUACGAAUCUGUGCUAUCGCACUAGUUGUGUUUAUUAAUUCAACGAAAAAUUAAGAUAAAGGACUAACUCAUUUUAAAACCACAAUAAAAGUUAAAUGAAUAACAAUUGUGCCACAUAACUACAACAAUGAUAACAAUAAAACGCCAAUAGUGAUGAAGUGCUUUUUAUGCAA